rnacentral:lncRNA from 1 species
AAGAGGACUUGAAAAAGACCUAGAGCAAAACCAUGUUAAUGGAAACCAGCUAUGUGGGUCUGACAGUCAAUGCUUUUGGUAAACUGUAAUCUGUGGCCUAUCUACAGGGAAGUGAUUCUCCAAAAGAGCAUUCAAGCAGCACAGAUCACCCCAGCAGUGCUAUCUGCUCCCUCCUCCUGAGCUUGCCAAGAUUUGGGGGUUUUGCUUAGGCUUCCCCAUUCCUCGAUCCUAAAGCACUCCAAGCAAAUAAUGUUGGUACUGUUUAUCCCUACAUGCAAUGUGCCAUAUGAAAUCUUGAGAAAGUUGCCCAUGUCAGUCUAUUUUGUUUUUUAAAAAGGAUGAUUAUAAAAUAAAGUGAACAUCUGAAUCUCUGGCCAAGUGAACCUCAGCCUCCCUUAUAAACCUCAAUAUGCUCAUCUUCAUUUACUACGAAGCAAUAACUCUUCAAAUUCUUAAGCAAAUAAUACAAUAUUCAUUGCAAUCUGGAUCUCCCUACAUGUCUUUCAUUGAUCAACUGUCAAGGACGUUAAGGAGAUUCUCAAGACUCCUCAAAAGUUGGGGGCGUGUGUGUAAGGGGAGAGAUUUGUGACCAAUUAAAAUGCAGGAAAGUUAAAUAACAUUUCCAACUUCCUGGUUUGAGGCACAAACACAUUUGGUGUUGAAGGAAAAGGAUCAGGAAGAAACAAAACUAUAAUUUAUAGCUUAAGUAUGGUCAUGGGACAGGAAAUAAUGUGUGGCACUUACAAAUUCCAUGUCCAAGCCAGGAAAAGCAAAACAGAAACAAGGACCAAGAGGGUGGUAGUUAACCUAGAAAGACUGAGGACUAAGGAAGUCCCUACUGCUGACCGAGCCCAUACCAAGCAAAACCAGCAAGUGACAAGCAGCUCUCAACCCCUUUGGCUUCCUGCCUACCCUGAGAUAUUCUUCCCAAUAAUUCAAAUCUAAAAGGUUUUGAGCAGCAUGGGAAUUAAAAAAGAAAAGAAAAACCCACCUCUGUGAAAGAGUGGCUUAUAUACAGGUGAUCGUUUUGGAUGGCACACCUUAGCAUUACUAAGUUAAUGCAUCAGAAAGGUCGCAAACCCAUCCUCUGUAAAUCGGGACAGAACUGUGCCCUCUACUUGUUUUCUGCCCGAGCUUCAUUCUUGACUUCUGAAGUUAAUUUUAAUGGUUUAAGCCCUUCCUCUCUGUUUCCAAGAGUUUUGUUUAACUUUCUUUUAUCCCCCACUCACACCCUGACAGAUUAUGGUAUGAAAUAACAAAAAGUCCAUCGACUUUGAAAUCAGAUAGACCUGGGUUUAAAUCAGAUAGACCUGAUGCUUCAUCUCUGAAUCUUAUCUGUAAGCUUCUGCAAAAUGGACUAGUAAUAACUACUCCUGAAGUUCUUCUGAGUGUUAAAUGAGAUAAUGUAUGGAAACAUAUCAUGUCUGUUGUAGUAGAUAUGCUACAGUGACACAGCACACCUACUCCAGGACAAAUCAUUCAUGCCUCGGAUAGUAUCUGGAACAGUUAGCUACUUAACUGCAAUCAUCUUCUCAAUACAUUUACCAAAAUACAGAAAAGUGCCAUGCAUCAGUUACUUGUGAAAAUUCUAUCUCCAGUCCCGAUCUCUCUCCCUUGAGUUAGAGCCCUGGAUUUGUGGCUACUUCGUGAAUAUUACUAUCUACUAGUGACUUUAGAAUUGGCUAGAAUUCAUUUUAUGCCAUUGCUAUUAGAAAUAGGAAAGCAGACCUCAACACAUGAAUUCAUUUGGCCUUUGUUAUAUAUACAUAGACAGGAUAGGAAGUAGGACUUAGGUCACCCACCUCUCUAUUUCCUGUAUUUCUCUAAGUGCUUCUUGAUGUCUCUCCACCAGCUGGACCACAUAGAAAAGCAAAUUUAUCACCACACUUCCUCCAAAAUUAGCUCCCCCUCUGGACUUAUUUCUGUUAAUUGAACCUUAAUUUUCCUGGUCUGAUUCAGGACUUGCAAUGUCCUUGGCAAGAUUUUCUGCCUUCUUCUACACCCACCCACCAGUCCCUGCAUCCAUUUGUUACCAAACUACCAUAAUUUCGUCUUUCACAAAGUCUCCUGUCUAUCCUUUCCUUUUAGUUUCACCUUGACAGCACACUCUAGAACCUCAUUACCUCACACCAGGACAAAGGGGUCCUACCUAGACGCCCUUCCACCUGCCCAUCUAAUCCCAAACACUCUGUGCACACUGCCACUUUCACCAUCCCAUAUCCACGCUUCGCAGAGACACCUGCAAAAACACUUGCAAUGCAAGACUCAGCCACAACUGAGCCUCAGAGUGUGACAUCUAGGGGACACCUUGACAAAGAACCACAGGAGAAACCAAAGAGAUCCAACAUUCCGCUGCUGCCAGGUGUUGAGGAAAUGCACACACCCUCAUGAGAGAGACACAAACCAUCACAGAGCAUCAGAAGUGGAUGAAACUUCUUGGCCUGGAGAAUUAAAAAAAAAAAAAAAAGAAAGAAAGGAAAGCACUGUGAGACUUUUGCCCCAUCACAGAUUGAAGGAAAAGGUGAAAAAAACAGAAUGUAGAAGUCAUAAAACUGCAGAGGCCUAUUAUCUAAACAUCUGACAUGACAUUGCCCCAUCUUAUAACUGAAGUUCUCAAGACUGAGUGAAAAAAUCAAGAAAGAACAUGUGUUCUGAGAUAGCAUCAAUAGUAUGUUCUUUCUGUAAAUAAAGCACAUUAAUGUACUGAAUAAGAUGGAUUUCAAAAUUUGGUAA